GACCUUCCUUUGGCGGCACCUGGGUUGGAACAGUGGCCCCCUGUGCGGGGUGUCUUCUGAGUUGGACUUGUCCUUGGCAGUGCCCCCCACCCCUUGGCCCAGGACUCUAAAUUCUAAACAGAAGCCCCACCCACCUGGUGGAGGUGCUCACUGCCACAGCCCUCCUUUAGAUUUACAGAACCAGAACAUCUGGUGACCUUCAGGGAGCUCAGAGUGGCCCCGCCUCCCGUUCCUGGAUCCUGUCACCCUCCGGCACAAAGCCUGCACAUGGGUGUGAGGUUUAACUUGCAGAAACUAAGACGUUUACCCAGAGAAAGUACAGCCGCUAGACCCAGGAGGUCAAGGUCAAUGUGAUGUUCUGGCUGGGGGGGGAGGAGGAGACGUCUGCUCAGGGUGACCAAGACCCUACCCGGCCCAGGGUCUUCCUGUCCACUGCCCACUGCAUCCCUUCCCUCUCCAUGGAGGCCCUCUGUGUGUUGAGCUCCUCGAUGUGUGUUUUGGGUGACGAUGGCUCCACACAGCUGCUCAGGGGGCCAGCCCUGGGUGAAGCUGGCGUCCCCCGCAGCACGUCUCUUUCCACAGUUGGCUUUUGCGAGACGAGCAGGGGACUCGGAGGGAAAUCAAACCUGCCUACUGAAGUCUUUAAUGCCCUCCAACUCCAGCCCCCCAAUACUAUUCCCCUCCGUGCACCCCAGGCUCCAGCCCACCAGGUGGGCCUCACACAAGAGGGAGUCCCGUGCCCCCCACAGGGUUCCACGGAAGUUUGUUGACUGCUCAAAGACCUUCCACGUGGGACCCUUAGAGCUGCACCUGAGAAACCACACCUUCCUCGGGUGAUCUGCGGGCUGUUCCGGGCACUUCCGGAAUUUGGGGUCCAGAGACAGAAAGUCACCUGCCAAGAUUCAUAGCUCCAAGCAGCCAAGGACUAUCCACCUCCUCCCCCUUCACCAGGGGAGAGCACGCGGGCCCUCUAGCUGGGUGCCCUGGCUGUGCUCCGCUCUUGUGUAUUUCCCUGCUGAUUCUUGUUCCGCCUGCACCCAGCACCCACGCCCUGGCUGGCUGAUCCACCCCACUCACUGCUGGGCUCCUCCGUCUACCAGGACCUCAUCCUCAGGACGGGAGGCCAAUUCCCCCCAGUUAGGUCAGAACAAGGUAGAAACCAGG
rnacentral:lncRNA from 1 species